rnacentral:lncRNA from 1 species
CCUAACAUAAGUCGGGAACUCAAAUGAUGCCAGCUUUGAGUAGAACAUCGGUCAUUCAUUCUCGGGUCAUUCUGGGUCAUCGUCGUGCACAAGCCAUUGCUGGCCAAGUCACCUAAUGGUGUUAUUGAUAAAAGCUUUGUAGCUGGUCAUGAAUGCAUCGAUGAGGCGCUACAAGUUCUCCUCAAUUAAUUAUAGCUUAUUUAUCAUACCAAUUUCGAAG